UACAGAGGGUGCGAGCGUUGUUCGGAAUUAUUGGGCGUAAAGGGCGCGUAGGCGGUGCGGUAAGUCACCUGUGAAAUCUCCUGGCUCAACUGGGAGCUUGCAGGCGAAACUGCCGUGCUGGAGUGUGGGAGAGGUGCGUGGAAUUCCUGGUGUAGCGGUGAAAUGCGUAGAUAUCAGGAGGAACACCUGUGGCGAAAGCGGCGCACUGGACCAUAACUGACGCUGAUGCACGAAAGCUAGGGGAGCAAACAGG
rnacentral:rRNA from 1 species